GCUGAAGAAAUCCAAUACCUAGGCCUGCUGGGAAGCUGGCAGCCAAAAUGUCCUAAGAACUCCAGGAGGGCCAAGGGCCCGAAAUCUGCAACUGCUAGCCUUGUCUGCCUACAGCCAGCACAGAAAAACACGGCAGAGAUCAGCACUCCCAAAACUUUUUGUCUAUGAUUUCUAGCUGGGCAAAGGAAAAGAAGUCCAGCUGUUUAGUAGCAAGUGGCUGCUAUCAUUAUAUACUUUACUGUACUAAUUAGAAAUGAUGGCACAGAGAUGUAGCCUCUUGUAAAGUCCCACAGCACACAGGGGUUGAAUUAGAACUAUAAGCAGGAAGCUGGUCUCCCUGGCCAGAGUUCUGGCUCGGAUUCUUUCCUUCUUAAACCCCUGCUCAAACGGAGUGACCACAGACACCAGUGCUGUGCGCUGUGGGUGACCCUAAACAAGUACUUAACACAGCACAUGAACUAUUAUUAUUACAUUUGACAUUGAAUGAGGACCUAUUCGGGUUUUGUUUUGUGUUAAGACCAGAGAUGUUUUAUGUCGAUGAAAUAAUACAACUACCCAAACCACCCAACGAAACCAGGUAGACCCUGGAGGAAUACAAUCUAUAGUAACUCAUGCCGGUGAGCUCACCGCACAAGAGUUAACAGCGAGGCUCGCUCUAAAGGAUCCUCGCGUCCGAGUUGCAGGUCCCCAGGCCACAGGGAAGUACCCUUUUCAGUCCGAACUCCCUCUGAGACAGUUCUGCCUGAAGCCAGCCCUUCGGAUGGGGACCUGGCCUUCUUUUCAGGAGAGCGCGGCUCUUCCCAUUUGAAGACGUUUAGUUUUUCAAAGUUAUUUUGCAGUCGCCCAAAUGACCGACUACUGGCUUAAAAGUUGCUAAAAUAAUCCAGCCCGGUUCGUGACCCUGUAAACCCUGCCGGAGAAGGGCUCGCCUGCCUCCCGCGGUCCAGCGGUGAGCAAAGGCGGCCCGAGCCUCCCGGCCCCGCCGCCCGCGGUGCUCGACCCUGAUACCCGCCGCGUGCCCGCCGCCCACCUGCCAGGGAAAGGAGGGCAGCGCGCGAGCCGCCAGGAAGCGGCGCUCGAAACUCUGCAGCAGAGACGUGGCCCCCUCGUGGUCCUCAGGCGCCAUCGCGGGGCAGGGCCAGGGUUGCCUGGAAACGGGCGGAAGCGAGGCCUGAGACGGAGGAGGCGUGGCAACUAGGAGGUGCCCUAGCUAUGCUGGACAGAAGGAUUCUCAGUCAAUCGGUGCAGUCCGUGAAGACGCGGCUUCAGCCCGGACUGUUUGUACCACACACACAGAAGCCGAGUGCACUCCAGAUGACCCCAAGGCCAGUUCUUCCUGGGCCAAGCUCGGGGGCAGUGACAGUGGUCACAGCCAGAGGACACAACACAAGGACCUCAGGAAUGCUGGACAUAACAGCGUAUGUCUGUAAUUCCAUCACUCCUGUGUUGAGAUGGAUGGUGGAGACAGAAGAAUUCUUUGAAGCCCAUGGGCUGGCUGGCUUCAUGUAUGCAGCACCGAAUAUGAGGGACUUUGCCUUGAACAUGGUGGGAGGUAAGGACCGAGAGCUAACAUUGUCCUUUGACAUCGACAUCAGUGCCAAGACACAACAGCACACGAUGAAAAACAAAACAGAGAGAUCUGGAGAGAUGGCUCAGUGGUUAGAAGCACAACUGACCUUGCAGGAGACCCAAGUUUGGCUCCCAGCUCACAAUUGUCUGUAACUCCAGGGACUCUGAUGCCCUCUUCUGGUUCUCUGGAUACCUGCAAUGUGCCCGUGAUGCAUGUGCAUGCGUGAACACACACACAUACCCCCCCCGCCGCACAUACCAAUUAAUUUAAAAAUGCCUCGGCUAGCUCAAAGGCUGGGCAGUUCUAAUCCCCCCCCUUGGCUAACACACAUUUCCCUCCUGUAAUCCUGGCUUAAUGCCCUCUAAUUCUAUAUUUUAUUUUUGUUGCCCUGGCUCCUUCUGGGUGGCUCCCUACUCUUUAGCCUUUCCAGGGGUCCAUAUUCCUUCUCACCUACAUUUCGGAUAAUUUUUCCUUCUGCAGCUCUAAAUCUGAUUCAUCUCCCUCUGAUUUAUGGCAAUUCUCUCUCUUCCCUUCUCUCAGUUGCUAGCCCAUGCAAAUCUAAAGGUUCUGCUUCAGUCUGUCUUCCCAACCACUGGCCAUUGUCUCUUUAUUGACCAAUCAAAAACCAGUUGGGGACAAAAACCUUCAGCAUUUGGACAUGCAGAUUCCCGAUUUUGAGGGCUGGAUUAAUUGGAAGCACUGGAACCAAUCCCCAACAUCAUCUUUUCUGUCCAAAUUAAAAAAAAAAAAACUCUUCUGUCAGACAUAAAUUGAGCAUAACCAUAACAGUUAAGCAAGUUACAAAGUAUGAUAUGCAAUUAACAUCUAGUCUGUCAUAUUUGGCAAUUUAGAUAAAGUAUUCUAUCAUCUAUCUUAACUUAAUGAGUUACAAUUCUGUACCUAAAUCAUGUUUGAUUUCAACUUGUAUUACCAUCCGAAAACUAUCUUUUGAAUCUAGAACACCUUCUUUAAUGCUAAACAGCUUAAGUUCAAUUGUGAGAUUAUAAUUAGUCUUCAACCUUGUCAGAGAUUUGAUAAGGAAUUAAAUAUUACCUGAGUAUGUAGGAAGCACAAAGACACAGCUUCCAAAACCUUUUCUUCCCUGUUCAAAACUAUACCAUCUCCAAAUUAUCCCUUAAAAUGACAACCUAUCUAUAAUUUGUAAAAUAAUCAUAACCAGACACCCAAACCCAAGGAAUCAGACUGAUGACUUUCCAUGGCUUCUUCCUGCCGAAUAGGGACGAUAAGAAAUUCUUUAAAGGGGUGGAGAGGGGAAGGAAGAUUAGAAAAAUUGCUAGGCUUAAGACAGGUAGCUUUAGCAUCUGUUAUCCAUUUUCUGUAUACUUAGAAGGCUCAGGGCUUAACCGAGGUUCCGACUGGGUCUGUCUGAAAGGCUGAAUGAACCGAGUCUCUGGACAGCCCCAGGAAGCAGGGGCUGGAGCAGCAGGUCAUUUAAGUGUCCCAGCAGGUAAAUCUUGCCAGAGUGGUACAAUCUGCAAUGUAUGAAUCACAAGCAGAAUUUUCGUACUAUUAAGAUACUUGUAUGGAUUGUGCAGGGUGCACAGAUCAGUUAAGCAUGAAAUCUGUUCCUUGUUUGAGCAGGUGAAAAACAACUGUCUUUUUUAUGAAUUAUUUUUAUCAAUAGCCAAUUAUGUGAUAGAUCUCCAUUCAUGCUGUAUGAAGGAGGGCAUGAAGAAACUUAAGGAUUCCAUAACCAACAAGAUUUACUGUCUAAUUUUAGCUGAAGUUUUGGUUAGAGACAUUUUUAUGUCUAAGUCAGUUCCUGGGCUGUUCCCAUGUUGAGGAAUCAGCAGAUCAAGUCACCUGUCCUGCUUGAUUUUCUCGAAUUUUUCUUUACGGUUGUCAAGAUCCUCAGAGGGUCUUUCCUGUCCUAUCUGAUCCAUAUCACUCCGGAAGGGGUCCAAAGCCUCCUUUCCUGUCAGCACAAAUACAGAGCCUGUCUCCCUGUAGCUGGAAAGCAUUAAAGGUAUGGCUUGACCUCUCUCCCAGAGGAAUAUAACCAUCAAACUCAUAGCCAAAUGCAUUUUGAUAAUGAAAGCAAUUCAAAGCAGUGAAAACAAUCUAAACAAAUAUUAACCAUUGAGACAGUGCUUCUUCACUUGCUUUUUGACCUAUAAUUUAAGAUCAAAAGCCUCACUAUUUUACACAUCUAUGUAUACUUAAAUCUUCCCUACUAUGGAGAGGGUCUCUGUGAGUAGUCAUGACAGUAUGCCACUUUCUCUUUAUAUAAUUCUCAAGGCUAAGCUCCUAUUCUCUGAGAUAAGUUAGACUCCCUAUCCCUUGCUUUUCAAUCUAAUUUUUAAGGAUAGGAAACCUCAGUAUUGUCUAUGUCUACUUACUCUAUAAGUCUAUUUCCAGGCUCAAUUUUGUCAUACCAGGCUAAACAAUCACAGAAAUCUCAUGUGGACCAUGUUCAAAGAUUUUGAGAUAUUUUUCCCCUGGCAAGACUUUUAAAUUUCUCUAAAGGAUUUUUUUUUUUCAUCCAUUCUCCCUAACUCCUUUCCUCUGUGAGCUUAAUAUCUCUGUAUACUUAAGAACAUUUAAGCAAUUACCAUUAUACUCUCUUCUAUCCUUAAAAGGAAUUAAAUAAAAAUUUAUAAAUCUCUAUCAUUUAUUUAUCUGG
ensembl:processed_transcript